rfam:Ipomoea nil DNA, scaffold: scaffold3056, cultivar: Tokyo-kokei standard.
CUGACCUUAGCUCAGUUGGUAGAGUGGUGGACUGUAGUUGGACUAAUCUAAAUUGGAAAUCCUUAGGUCGCUGGUUAGAUUCCGGCAGGUUGGA